GGGUGAGUAACACGUGGGCAACCUGCCCUGUAGACGGGGAUAACACCGAGAAAUCGGUGCUAAUACCGGAUAACACGAAAUGUCGCAUGACGUUUCGUUGAAAGACGGCGCAAGCUGUCGCUACAGGAUGGGCCCGCGGCGCAUUAGCUAGUUGGUGAGGUAACGGCUCACCAAGGCGACGAUGCGUAGCCGACCUGAGAGGGUGAUCGGCCACACUGGGACUGAGACACGGCCCAGACUCCUACGGGAGGCAGCAGUAGGGAAUCUUCCGCAAUGGACGAAAGUCUGACGGAGCAACGCCGCGUGAGCGAAGAAGGCCUUCGGGUCGUAAAGCUCUGUUGGUAGGGAAGA
rnacentral:rRNA from 1 species